UAGGGUGGCUAACCAUCCUGGUUUGCCUGGGACUGAGGGGCUUUCUGGGCUGUGAGACUUUCAGUGCUAAAAUCAGGACAGUC
rnacentral:miRNA from 1 species